UCCCGGGGGGCAACUCCCGGGGGAAGUGGCGAAAGGGGCAGUAAGGCGUGGGUAACCUACCCCGGGGACGGGCAUAGCCCUCCUAACGGAGGGGUAAUUCCCGGCGAAGUGACUGAGUCGCAUGGCCCGGUCAUGAAAGGAGUUUCGCCUCGGGAGGGGCUCACGUGGUAUUAGCUUGUUGGCGGGGUAACGGCCCACCAAGGCUUAGAUGCCUAGCGGGUGUGAGAGCACGACCCGCGCCACUGGCACUGAGACACUGGCCAGACUCCUACGGGAGGCUGCAGUCGAGGAUCUUCGGCAAUGGGCGCAAGCCUGACCGAGCGACGCCGCGUGUGCGAUGAAGGCCUUCGGGUUGUAAAGCACUGUCGAGGGGGAGGAAGCCGCAAGGUUGACCUAUCCCUGGAGGAAGCACGGGCUAAGUUCGUGCCAGCAGCCGCGGUAAGACGAACCGUGCGAACGUUGUUCGGAUUCACUGGGCUUAAAGGGCGCGUAGGCGGUCGACCAAGUCUGGGGUGAAAUCUUUCGGCUCAACCGGAAAAGUGCCCCCGAUACUGGCCGGCUAGAGGGAGAUAGGGGCAUGCGGAACUUCCGGUGGAGCGGUGAAAUGCGUAGAUAUCGGAAGGAACGCCGGUGGCGAAAGCGGCGUGCUGGAUCUCUUCUGACGCUGAUGCGCGAAAGCCAGGGGAGCAAACGGGAUUAGAUACCCCGGUAGUCCUGGCCCUAAACGAUGGGUACUGGGUAGUGGACUUGACAUGGGUUCACUGCCGCAGCCAAAGUGGUAAGUACCCCGCCUGGGGAGUAUGGUCGCAAGGCUGAAACUC
rnacentral:rRNA from 1 species